rnacentral:rRNA from 1 species
UACGAAGGGUGCAAGCGUUACUCGGAAUCACUGGGCGUAAAGCGUGCGUAGGCGGUUUCUUAAGUCUGUCGUGAAAGCCCUGGGCUCAACCUGGGAAUGGCGAUGGAUACUGGGAGGCUAGAGUGUGAUAGAGGAUGGUGGAAUUCCCGGUGUAGCGGUGAAAUGCGUAGAGAUCGGGAGGAACACCAGUGGCGAAGGCGGCUACCUGGACCAGCACUGACACUGAGGCACGAAAGCGUGGGGAGCAAACAGGG